rnacentral:misc_RNA from 1 species
AUAUCUUUGAUGUUUGCACUGCCAACCCAUCGCACCUCUGCCUGUGGCUUUCUUGCCUCACAUCGCUUCAGUUGCUGACUUCGACGUGACAAGUUUCAUUCUCCUCCUGCGUUUUUGUGUUUUCUUUCACAAAAGAGCUCGACAAGUGCAAGGAAAAUGCCGUCUCGUCGUAUGCUGCACACCAUGAUUCGCGUCGGCGACCUCGACCGCUCCAUCAAGUUCUACACGGAGCGUCUGGGCAUGAAGGUGCUACGGAAGUGGGAUGUUCCGCAGGACAAGUAUACCCUCGUCUUUCUUGGCUACGCACCCGAGAUGAGCUCGACGGUUCUGGAGCUGACGUACAACUACGGUGUCACAUCCUACAAACACGACGAAGCGUACGGUCAUAUUGCUAUCGGGGUGGAGGACGUGAAGGAGCUGGUGGCUGACAUGCGCAAGCAUGACGUGCCGAUCGACUACGAAGACGAGAGCGGCUUCAUGGCGUUCGUGGUCGACCCGGAUGGGUAUUACAUUGAGCUGCUCAACGAGAAGAUGAUGAUGGAGAAGGCGGAGGCGGAUAUGAAGGAGCAGGGCACUGCCUAAGGUCCCCCAUUCUUUUUUUGCUGCGCUUCCUCCCUGUCUGCCUCGCUGACCACGAUUCGUUCGCUCCGCCCUUCUGGCCUGGUGAUUGCCGCCGCUUGUGUCGGCCGUGCUCGACCUUUCUGCGCCACUAAUGCAUGUCUUCCGCCUUAUGUGGUUGGCCUUCGCACACCCGCCUGCCAUGUGUUAGCGCUCUCUUCUGUCGCCGCGACAAUCCUCUCUACCACCGUUUGCGGAGGAGUUCGGCCAACUGCUGUUUUCUCUCAAGGUGGAGGAGGAAUCUCGGCCGGAGUGUGGCGAGGAUGGUAAUGGUUGAGGGGGCUUCGCUCCUUCUCCGUGACCUUUUCCUGCCCUCACCUCCUUCUUUCGAUGAUUGGUGCCGUCCCGAGCGUGCGCACGAAGACGGCCUGGCAGACCGUCUCGAGUACUCCACGCAGCUAACCAGGGGGGAGGGAGCCAGAGACGGACUGCUUAAAUCUUUCGAACAAUCUCUUGUGGCUCUCCAGCUUAUCUUUGUUCUCCUCAUGGAAACCGCGUCGCAUGCCCCACCGACGCCAG